UACGGAGGGUGCAAGCGUUAUCCGGAUUCACUGGGUUUAAAGGGUGCGUAGGUGGGUUGGUAAGUCAGUGGUGAAAUCCCCGAGCUUAACUUGGGAACUGCCAUUGAUACUAUCAAUCUUGAAUGCAGUGGAGGCAGGCGGAAUGCGUCAUGUAGCGGUGAAAUGCUUAGAUAUGACGCAGAACACCAAUUGCGAAGGCAGCUUGCUACACUGCGAUUGACACUGAGGCACGAAAGCGUGGGGAUCAAACAGG
rnacentral:rRNA from 1 species